AGAGAGGUGUCCGAGUGGUUGAAGGAGCACGCCUGGAAAGUGUGUAUACUCCAAAAGGGUAUCGUGGGUUCGAAUCCCAUCCUCUCUGCCA
rnacentral:tRNA from 1 species